CUAUACAUGCAAGUCGAGCGGACAGAUGGGAGCUUGCUCCCUGAUGUUAGCGGCGGACGGGUGAGUAACACGUGGGUAACCUGCCUGUAAGACUGGGAUAACUCCGGGAAACCGGGGCUAAUACCGGAUGCUUGUUUGAACCGCAUGGUUCAAACAUAAAAGGUGGCUUCGGCUACCACUUACAGAUGGACCCGCGGCGCAUUAGCUAGUUGGUGAGGUAAUGGCUCACCAAGGCAACGAUGCGUAGCCGACCUGAGAGGGUGAUCGGCCACACUGGGACUGAGACACGGCCCAGACUCCUACGGGAGGCAGCAGUAGGGAAUCUUCCGCAAUGGACGAAAGUCUGACGGAGCAACGCCGCGUGAGUGAUGAAGGUUUUCGGAUCGUAAAGCUCUGUUGUUAGGGAAGAACAAGUACCGUUCGAAUAGGGCGGUACCUUGACGGUACCUAACCAGAAAGCCACGGCUAACUACGUGCCAGCAGCCGCGGUAAUACGUAGGUGGCAAGCGUUGUCCGGAAUUAUUGGGCGUAAAGGGCUCGCAGGCGGUUUCUUAAGUCUGAUGUGAAAGCCCCCGGCUCAACCGGGGAGGGUCAUUGGAAACUGGGGAACUUGAGUGCAGAAGAGGAGAGUGGAAUUCCACGUGUAGCGGUGAAAUGCGUAGAGAUGUGGAGGAACACCAGUGGCGAAGGCGACUCUCUGGUCUGUAACUGACGCUGAGGAGCGAAAGCGUGGGGAGCGAACAGGAUUAGAUACCC
rnacentral:rRNA from 1 species